rnacentral:rRNA from 1 species
AUUGAACGCUGGCGGCAGGCCUAACACAUGCAAGUCGAACGGUAACAGGGAUCAGCUUGCUGAUUCGCUGACGAGUGGCGGACGGGUGAGUAAUGUCUGGGAAACUGCCUGAUGGAGGGGGAUAACUACUGGAAACGGUAGCUAAUACCGCAUAACGUCGCAAGACCAAAGAGGGGGACCUUCGGGCCUCUUGCCAUCGGAUGUGCCCAGAUGGGAUUAGCUAGUAGGUGGGGUAACGGCUCACCUAGGCGACGAUCCCUAGCUGGUCUGAGAGGAAGACCGGCCACACUGGAACUGAGACACGGUCCAGACUCCUACGGGAGGCAGCAGUGGGGAAUAUUGCACAAUGGGCGCAAGCCUGAUGCAGCCAUGCCGCGUGUAUGAAGAAGGCCUUCGGGUUGUAAAGUACUUUCAGCGGGGAGGAAGGGAGUAAAGGUAAUACCUUUGCUCAUUGACGUUACCCGCAGAAGAAGCACCGGCUAACUCCGUG